rnacentral:rRNA from 1 species
ACUCAAAUGAAUAGACGGGGACCCGCACAAGCGGUGGAGCGUGUUGUUUAAUUCGAUGGUAAGCGAAGAACCUUACCAGGGUUUGACAUCCUGGGAAUCACUUCGAAAGAAGAGAGUGCCUUUAUGGAAUCCAGUGACAGGUGUUGCAUGGCCGUCGUCAGCUCGUGUCGUGAGAUGUUUGGUUAAGUCCAUCAACGAGCGCAACCCUUAUAGUUAGUUGAAUUUCUCUAGCUAGACCGCCUCGGCAACGGGGAGGAAGGAGGGGAUGAUGUCAGGUCCGUAUUACCCUUACACCCUGGGCUACAAACACGCUACAAUGGCCGGUACAAAGGGCUGCCAAGUCGCGAGACGGAGCAAAUCCCAUCAAAGCCGGUCUCAGUUCGGAUUGCAGGCUGAAACUCGCCUGCAUGAAGCUGGAAUCGCUAGUAACGGUGAGUCAGCACAUUACCGUGAAUACGUUCCCGGGUCUUGCACACACCGCCCGU